GCGAGCAGAGCUCGGAGCCGGCUCCAUCCAUGGCAGAGGCAGCUCCGCCGCUGGCAGCCGGCACGAGCACAGCCCCGGCAGCCCGGCCCGCGGCGCAGCCAUCGCUCGUCGUUUAAAUGCCUUCUUCCCCCGGUGAUGCGGAUGCGGAGAAGGCAGCAAACCCCCCCCCGGCUGUGCGCUCCCUGCCCUGGCUGCUCCUGUGCGCGGCGGGGAGCGCUUCUUAGGGGACAGAGCAGCCGGGAGGGGUGACACGGGGCGGGGGACAGCGCGGAGGGGCUGCGGGUCGCGCCUCCACGGGGCAUGUCACGCGUGGGAGCGGCCCUCCAGGAGCAGAAAGCAAAGUCUCUCGCAAUGAAUCCACGGCAGCUUCGAUUGAGCGGUGAGCUGGAGCACCUACCCACAGGCCACUCCUCGAUGUGACUGCAGAGAGGCCCUUGCCAGUGCUGGGAGAGCAGAGCUGUGGAUUUACCCCCCCAUGCAACGGCGUCCCCCCCGGCACCACGAGAUUCCAGUGACAGAUGGAUCUCUCUCAUGUGCACUUGCUCUUUCCCUCUCUGUAUUUUUGUUUUCAACAUGUUUGAUCUGAAGCUCUGAAGCUUCUCAGAAGGAACCUGGGAGAAAAGAAAAAGGAGGAGGAACUGAAGGGAGUGUGAGCGACAGAGGAGGCAGCCUUGCCUAUUCUUCCAAAUCACACCGUGGAGGG